rnacentral:rRNA from 1 species
CAAUAGCGUAUAUCAAAGUUGUUGCAGUUAAAACGCUCGUAGUCGGAAUUUGGCAGUUCCGGAUGUGUGCACGUCGUGUGCGCACUUCGCGGGGAUUGCUUUUGUGGUCUUGCGUAGGAUGAGGCACUUUUAUUAGUGAACGUCCUCACGCAACCACUUUUUACUGUGAGAAAAUCAGAGUGCUCAAAGCAGGCAUUUGCCGUGAAUGUAUUAGCAUGGAAUAAUAGAAUAGGACUUGGUUCUAUUUUGUUGGUUUGUUGGGACUGAGUAAUGAUUAAGAGGGACAGUUGGGGGCAUUUGUAUUUCGGUGCUAGAGGUGAAAUUCUUAGAUUACCGAAAGACAAACUGCUGCGAAAGCGUCUGCCAAGGAUGUUUUCAUUGA